rnacentral:rRNA from 1 species
UACGGAGGAGGCAAGCGUUAUCCGGAAUUAUUGGGCGUAAAGCGUCCGCAGGUGGCACCUCAAGUCUGCUGUCAAAGACCGGGGCUUAACCCCAGAAAGGCAGUGGUAACUGAAGUGCUAGAGUGCAGUAGGGGUAGAGGGAAUUCCCGGUGUAGCGGUGAAAUGCGUAGAGAUCGGGAAGAACAUCGGUGGCGAAAGCGCUCUGCUGGACUGCAACUGACACUCAGGGACGAAAGCUAGGGGAGCGAAUGGG